rnacentral:rRNA from 1 species
AGCUCCAAUAGCGUAUAUUAAAGUUGUUGCAGUUAAAAAGCUCGUAGUCGGAUCUGAGGCGCCGGCGGGCGGUCCCUCCGCGUGAGGGUCUUACUGCCCGCUCCGGCCCUGACCCGCCGGCGUGCGGCCGGUGCUCUUGACUGAGUGCCGGCAGCGGCCGGAACGUUUACUUUGAAGAAAUUAGAGUGUUCAAGGCAGGCGGUUCGCCUGAAUGGUGGUGCAUGGAAUAAUGGAACAGGACCCCGGUUCUAUUCUGUUGGUCUUUGGAGCUCGAGGUAAUGAUCAAGAGGGACGGACGGGGGCAUUCGUAUUGCGGUGUGAGAGGUGAAAUUCUUAGAUCGCCGCAAGACGGGCUGCUGCGAAAGCGUUUGCCAAGAACGUUUUCAUUGAUCAAGAACGA